UACGUAGGGAGCAAGCGUUGUCCGGAAUCAUUGGGCGUAAAGCGCGCGUAGGUGGCUUCGUAAGUCCGUUGUGAAAGUCAAAGGCUCAACCUUUGAAAGCCGAUGGAUACUGCGGAGCUAGAGUACGGAAGAGGCGAGUGGAAUUCCUGGUGUAGCGGUGGAAUGCGCAGAUAUCAGGAGGAACACCAAUAGCGAAGGCAGCUCGCUGG
rnacentral:rRNA from 1 species